CUGUUGUUGAAGAAAGGCAUGGGAAACUGGUCGCUACUAAUAUCUUUGGUCUCCUCCUUCAGGAGUUGAGUUCUAUUGAAAAAGAGGCGUGUCACCUGAAGCACUGGAGAUUUUCAAUUCAAC
rnacentral:lncRNA from 11 species